rnacentral:lncRNA from 1 species
GAAUUUUUGCCCACCUUAGGUACCUGUAAUGUCAUAAGUCUGAGGGUGAUUCAGAUCAACCUCCAGCACUCCCGAGCCGCUUCCGCCCUUCUAGGUUAGCUGUUGGUUAUGACCUUGCUCUUAUUCAAGAGCCAUGGCACUUUAAAGGCCGAAUAUGGGGGCUUCACUGCAAAGAGGGUAAGUUGUUUUCUUUUACUUCUUGUACUUCUGAUAGUGGUCUUCAGACUUGUAUUUUCAUUAGGAAUAACAUGUGUGUUUCACCCAUUUGGGAUUUCUAUUCUAGGGAUCUUAUUACCGUUUGGAUGAAGCUUGCUAGUAGGGAAUUUAUUUUUUCCUCUGCUUAUUUCCUUUAUGAUUCUGAUGAACUUUCACCAACAUCCACUGAGUUUGGAUCUUUGGUGGAAUUUUAUCAAAAGAAUUUUUUUGAUUUAUGGGUUGGUAUUGAUGCUAAAACUCAUCAUG